rnacentral:rRNA from 1 species
UACAGAGGUCUCAAGCGUUGUUCGGAUUCAUUGGGCGUAAAGGGUGCGUAGGCGGCGCGGUAAGUCGGGUGUGAAAUCUCGGAGCUUAACUCCGAAACUGCAUUCGAUACUGCCGUGCUUGAGGACUAGAGAGGAGACUGGAAUUUACGGUGUAGCGGUGAAAUGCGUAGAUAUCGUAAGGAAGACCAGUGGCGAAGGCGGGUCUCUGGACAGUUCCUGACGCUGAGGCACGAAGGUCAGGGGAGCAAACGGG